GUGGGGAAUAUUGGACAAUGGGGGGAACCCUGAUCCAGCCAUGCCGCGUGUGUGAAGAAGGCCUUUUGGUUGUAAAGCACUUUAAGCGAGGAGGAGGCUACCGAGAUUAAUACUCUUGGAUAGUGGGCGUUACUCGCAGAAUAAGCACCGGCUAACUCUGUGCCAGCAGCCGCGGUAAUACAGAGGGUGCAAGCGUUAAUCGGAUUUACUGGGCGUAAAGCGCGCGUAGGUGGCCAAUUAAGUCAAAUGUGAAAUCCCCGAGCUUAACUUGGGAAUUGCAUUCGAUACUGGUUGGCUAGAGUAUGGGAGAGGAUGGUAGAAUUCCAGGUGUAGCGGUGAAAUGCGUAGAGAUCUGGAGGAAUACCGAUGGCGAAGGCAGCCAUCUGGCCUAAUACUGACACUGAGGUGCGAAAGCAUGGGGAGCAAACAGGAUUAGAAACCCUGGUAGUCC
rnacentral:rRNA from 1 species